UACAACAUAGCAUUAAUGCACCAGAUGCAAUUAUAACUCUGUAGUUAAGCGUGCUUAAGCUAGAGUAGUAUUGGGAUGGGUGACUACCUGAGAAGUCCUAGUGUCUUAC
rnacentral:rRNA from 1 species